UACGUAGGGUGCAAGCGUUAAUCGGAAUUACUGGGCGUAAAGCGUGCGCAGGCGGUUUUGUAAGUCUGUCGUGAAAUCCCUGGGCUCAACCUAGGAAUUGCGAUGGAGACUGCAAGGCUAGAAUCUGGCAGAGGGGGGGUAGAAUUCCACGUGUAGCAGUGAAAUGCGUAGAGAUGUGGAGGAACACCGAUGGCGAAGGCAGCCCCCUGGGUCAAGAUUGACGCUCAUGCACGAAAGCGUGGGGAGCAAACAGG
rnacentral:rRNA from 1 species